rnacentral:rRNA from 1 species
AGUGAACGCUGGCGGCGUGCCUAAUACAUGCAAGUCGAACGGAGUGGCGCACGGGUGAGUAAUAUAUAGCUAAUCUGCCCCUUGCUGGAGGACAACAGUUAGAAAUGACUGCUAAUACUCCAUAGCAAGGGAUGAGACUAUAUCGUAUCAGCUAGUCGGUGGGGUAACGGCCUACCGAGGCUAUGACGCGUAACUGGUCUGAGAGGAUGAUCAGUGACAUGGGAAGUGAGACACGGUACAAACUCCGACGGGAGGCAGCAGUAGGGAAUAUAGCGCAAGGGGGGAAACCCUGAAGAAGCAACGGCGCGUGGGGGAUGACACUUGUCGGAGCGUAAGCUCCGUUUGUUAAGGAAGCGGUACCUAACGAGAAAGCACCGGCUAACUCCGUGCCAGCAGCCGCGGUAAUAC